rnacentral:rRNA from 1 species
UACGAAGGGGGCUAGCGUUGCUCGGAAUCACUGGGCGUAAAGGGUGCGUAGGCGGGUCUUCAAGUCAGGGGUGAAAUCCGGCAGCUCAACUGUCGAAGUGCCCUUGAUACUGAUGAGCUCGAGGGAGGUAGGGGUGUGUGGAACUUCCGGUGGAGCGGUGAAAUGCGUUGAUAUCGGAAGGAACGCCGGUGGCGAAAGCGACGCACUGGACCUCUUCUGACGCUGAGGCGCGAAAGCUAGGGGAGCAAACGGG